UGGGGAAUCAUGGUCAAUGGGCGAAAGCCUGAACCUGCGACGCCGCGUGAGUGAUGAAGGUCGUAAGAUCGUAAAACUCUUUUCAGGGAUCUUAAAGCCUGUCUGUCAACAACAGGCAGGUCUGACUCUCCCUGGAAGAAGCCCCAGCCAACUACGUGCCAGAAGCUGCGGUAAUACGUAGGGGGCGAGCGUUAUUCGGAGUUACUGGGUGUAAAGGGUAGGUAGGCGGCCCUUCAAGUCGUGUGUCAAAGUCCAGAGCUCAACGCUGGGUGUGCACGCGAUACUGACGGGCUGGAUGGCUGGAGAGGUGAGCGGAAUUCCCGGUGUAGUGGUAAAAUACGUAGAUAUCGGGAGGAACACCAGCGUCGCAGGCGGCUCACUAGACAGUUUCUGACGCUAAGAUACGAAAGCGUGGGUAGCAAACA
rnacentral:rRNA from 1 species